rnacentral:rRNA from 1 species
GCGAGGUGGAGCAAAUCUCAAAAAGCCGUCCCAGUUCGGAUUGCAGGCUGCAACCCGCCUGCAUGAAGUUGGAAUCGCUAGUAAUCGCGGAUCAGCAUGCCGCGGUGAAUACGUUCCCGGGCCUUGUACACACCGCCCGUCACACCAUGAGAGUCGGGAACACCCGAAGUCCGUAGCCUAACCGCAAGGGGGGCGCGGCCGAAGGUGGGUUCGAUAAUUGGGGUGAAGUCGUAACAAGGUAUC